rnacentral:rRNA from 1 species
ACGCACGCUGGCGGCGUGCUUCACACAUGCAAGUCGAACGGAAAGGCCCUGCUUUUGUGGGGUGCUCGAGUGGCGAACGGGUGAGUAACACGUGAGUAACCUGCCCUUGACUUUGGGAUAACUUCAGGAAACUGGGGCUAAUACCGGAUAGGAGCUCCUGCUGCAUGGUGGGGGUUGGAAAGUUUCGGCGGUUGGGGAUGGACUCGCGGCUUAUCAGCUUGUUGGUGGGGUAGUGGCUUACCAAGGCUUUGACGGGUAGCCGGCCUGAGAGGGUGACCGGCCACAUUGGGACUGAGAUACGCCCCGGAACACUAAGAGAGGCAGCAGUGGGGAAUAUAGCAAAAGGGGCGGAAGCCUGAUGUAGCAACCCCGCGUGCGGGAUGACGGCCUUCGGUUUGUAAACCGCUUUCGCCUGUGACGAAGCGUGAGUGACGGUAAUGGGUAAAGAAGCACCGGCUAACUACGUG